rnacentral:rRNA from 1 species
GUGUCAGCAGCCGCGGUAAUACGAAGGGGGCUAGCGUUGCUCGGAAUGACUGGGCGUAAAGGGCGCGUAGGCGGUUUGGACCGUCAGAUGUGAAAUUCCCGGGCUUAACCUGGGGGCUGCAUUUGAUACGUCCAGACUAGAGUGAGGAAGAGGGUUGUGGAAUUCCCAGUGUAGAGGUGAAAUUCGUAGAUAUUGGGAAGAACACCGGUGGCGAAGGCGGCAACCUGGUCCUUGACUGACGCUGAGGCGCGAAAGCGUGGGGAGCAAACAGGAUUAGAUACCCUUGUAGUCC